CAGCAGCCGCGGUAAUACGUAGGGUGCAAGCGUUAUCCGGAAUUAUUGGGCGUAAAGAGCUCGUAGGCGGUUUGUCGCGUCUGUCGUGAAAGUCCGGGGCUCAACUCCGGAUCUGCGGUGGGUACGGGCAGACUAGAGUGAUGUAGGGGAGACUGGAAUUCCUGGUGUAGCGGUGGAAUGCGCAGAUAUCAGGAGGAACACCGAUGGCGAAGGCAGGUCUCUGGGCAUUAACUGACGCUGAGGAGCGAAAGCAUGGGGAGCGAACAGGAUUAGAUACCCCGGUAGUCCCUGUCUCUUAUAC
rnacentral:rRNA from 1 species